CCUACGGGAGGCUGCAGUGGGGAAUAUUGGACAAUGGGGGGAACCCUGAUCCAGCCAUGCCGCGUGUGUGAAGAAGGCCCUCGGGUUGUAAAGCACUUUCAGUGAGGAAGAACGCCUGGUGGUUAAUACCCAUCAGGAAAGACAUCACUCACAGAAGAAGCACCGGCUAACUCCGUGCCAGCAGCCGCGGUAAUACGGAGGGUGCGAGCGUUAAUCGGAAUUACUGGGCGUAAAGCGAGCGUAGGUGGCUUGAUAAGCCGGUUGUGAAAGCCCCGGGCUCAACCUGGGAACGGCAUCCGGAACUGUCAAGCUAGAGUGCAGGAGAGGAAGGUAGAAUUCCCGGUGUAGCGGUGAAAUGCGUAGAGAUCGGGAGGAAUACCAGUGGCGAAGGCGGCCUUCUGGACUGACACUGACACUGAGGUGCGAAAGCGUGGGUAGCAAACAGGAUUAGAUACCCUAGUAGUC
rnacentral:rRNA from 1 species